AACAGCCGCGGUAAUUCCAGCUCCAAUAGCGUAUAUUAAAGUUGCUGCAGUUAAAAAGCUCGUAGUUGAAUUUCGGGACCAAUAUGUCGGUCGUGCCUCGGUACGUACUGGCAUCGUUGGUUUCUCCUUUCUGAAGAACCAUGAUGUCAUUUAUUUGGUGUCGUGGGGAAUCAGGACUGUUACUUUGAAAAAAUUAGAGUGUUUAAAGCAGGCUCACGCUUGAAUACAUUAGCAUGGAAUAAUGAAAUAGGACGUUUGAUUCUAUUUUGUUGGUUUCUAGGAUCGACGUAAUGAUUAAUAGGGAUAGUUGGGGGCAUUAGUAUUCAAUUGUCAGAGGUGAAAUUCUUGGAUUUAUUGAAGACUAACUACUGCGAAAGCAUUUGCCAAGGAUGUUUUCAUUAAUCAAGAACGAAAGUUAGGGGAUCGAAGACGAUCAGAUACCGUCGUAGUCUUAACCAUAAACUAUGCCGACUAGGGAUCGGAUGAUGUUAAUUUUUAAUGACUCAUUCGGCGCCUUAAC
rnacentral:rRNA from 1 species